rnacentral:lncRNA from 1 species
AUUGCCUGUUUUUAUCACUGAGCUAUAUAUAACUGGAAAGGACAGCCAACAAUAAUGGAUAUUUCUUUCUGUAACCAGCAGAAGUUAGGUGUUGUCCAUUUUUAGCACACACAAAUGAACAGUUACAUUUACGUUGCUUAUUCCAUGCUGUGCAGUAUAUAAUUGCCACAACUGGUUGGAAGAUAAGAAAAAACUAAACUGGAAAUUUGUUUCAUAGACUUCCAGUAACAAAUCCACAAAGACUAAGCAAAUGAAUUGCAAACAUGAACAGGGAUUAUGGACACCAAGAAGUCAUAGCUUAUUGUGCUCUAGACUAUGUUUACACUUUGAAGAAAAGAAUUUUUAUCAGACUGGACAGGUUGAGGGAGCAUGAGGAACCAACUAUUUCUGAUUUUCCACCCCAUCUUCAGAAAUUAGACCUCAAAGAAGAGAAAGGCUCCCACAGAAAGGAAUGCUGGCUCUUCAAAACAUCACCCAGACACUGUUUCAUAUACUGAGGAAAGAUCUGCAGAUCCUAUCAGUGCUUCAUCUGAUCAUAAUUAUUAUUUGGCCUCUCCAAACAAGUUACACAAGAAGUACUUGUCAACUACUUAUAAAUUGGAAGACAAAAGAAAAAAAAAGCUCAAGAUGGAACAGCAAAAGACCAGAAAACAGAAAAUUAAAGUUAGUCACUUCACUAAUGUCAUUGACUCCAUCAAGAACCAUGGUUUGAUGUGCUGAAAUUCUUGAGGCCACUUUCAGUGGAGUGCCAAAAGUACUAAUGCAAAGACUUCUAAAGAUCAACUAGAGGUUGGUACAUUCCCCAUUGAACUGCCAUGACACUACAAUUUUAUUCUACAAAGGCAUAUGAACUUUUACGGGAAACACUUGACCUGUAUUUGCCAAGUAUCAGGAUAAUUAAGUGCUUGUACAGUGUCAUUGAUGGAGAACCUGGAUUUAUACGUGCAACAUUUGAAGACUUGGCAGUAAAGGUUAAGGAGAACAAAGAAAAACAAAUGGAGACUUUGUGUUCCCUAAUACUUGAUGAAAUGAAUAUUAGGAAGCAUAAUAAGCACAAAGGGAAGUUCUAUAGAUUUGUUGACAUUGGCUCACCAGCAAUGGAAGUUUAAGAAGAUGCUUUUGUACAGAUGAUGGUAUCUUUGAAUGAGAGCUGGAAAGUUCCAUUAGGCAUUGGACUAAUAAAGAAAGAUGGAACAAGCUGAUUUCUUCUGGUUUGGAGUAUAUAGAAGAUUUUAAACUCCUGAAUCGACAAGAGUUAUUGAUGGUAGGAAACAUGUUGGUAUUCUUGGCUGUAUUCAUAAGUGUGAGGAAUUUAUUCAAUAGUCUAGUGAAAGGUAACUGUGAUGGUCCUCUUAGAUACCUCCUUACCUUUUUUUCUCCUCAAUAAGAACUGCAGGUGGAUUCCACAGCAAUCCAACAGAUGUUUAACUUAUAUCUGCAUACAAAUGUCUUUUUAGUGAGACAAAAUAUUAAAUGUACAGGCAAUGGAAACUGUGUUUCCCAAGAUAAAACAAAUAUCCUUUCAGUGCUCUGUGUCUGUCAAGUUGUGGAUGGAAAUGUCAUCAGCAUUACAGAAGUGUUGAUUGCAAAGAAACGCAGCCUCAUCAAAGAGGAAGCUAGCUUUGAAAAUUUUGAUGACAUUUGUCUCACCCUAGCUGACUACAAGGAGGCAACAACUGCAUACAUAGCUGGCUAUGUAGCAAAAAUGGUGCACAACAAUUUCUUGUUCACAGUUCUAGGAAGCAUUAACUGAAAGAGACAAUAUUGAUCUUCACUCAGUCUUUAAGCAGAAGGAAAAGGGAUGUUUAUUCAAACCUAGUGGAAAUGUUAUAACUGUUUACCAGAUCAAAGAAAAAGUAGUAUUAAAAUUGUUUCCAAUCUUCCUCAGGGAAUUGGAGUUCUCUCAGCUGUAUCCUCAUCUGUAAUGACACAUAUUCAAGAUGUAGAUAUGUUUCUUGACUUAAACAAUCACAUGCUUGACUCAGCUGUUGGUGAUAACCAUUCUUUCAUUCUUAUCAAGUUAAUAGCAGUGCUUUUCUAAAAUUCGAAUUUGUCACCUUGGAAAACAAUAAACAGCUGAAAUUCUGGGAACAAGAGUAUGCAAGCAGUUAAACUAAAUUGGUUUCUUUUCAAUGCCAGUAGCUGUUGUUAAAUUUGUAAGAAUUUGUUUUCAAUUGUUUUCUUUCUGUUUUGAUGAAUCAUGAUUUUGAAGCAACUUUGAGAAAUAUGAAAAAAAAAUGUAUCACUACUAUAGAACAUGCAUAUUGUUUUACAUCCACACGGGUUUGCUUACAUUGCUUAAAAUAUUUUGUUUUGUAAAACUGUAAGAAGUAAUUUUUUAAAGAUAGUUUUUAUUUCUGUGUUCAGACUUCAUCUUUCUUACUGAAAAAUUGUUUCCAGUUUUAUUUGGCUACAGCUUUUAUUUCUUCUUAUUGCAAAUAGUAAAAUCUAAGUUAUACAAGUUUAAGUUUUUGGCUAUAUUAUAAAGAUUAUAUACUACUGUUGGUCCUCUCUUAUUAAAUAUUUUUUUUAAAUAUUGAUGUGCAGAUUGUUGAAACAAAUACCUCAUAGUUGUUGUGACACUACUUUAUGGGAAAAAAAAAUUAACUCUCUCAACACAGGCUUGGUCGAUUUGACUGACCACAUGACCUCUUUUGGACUCAU